rnacentral:rRNA from 1 species
CCUACGGGUGGCUGCAGUAGGGAAUUUUCGGCAAUGGGGGGAACCCUGACCGAGCAACGCCGCGUGAACGAAGAAGUUAUUCGUAAUGUAAAGUUCUUUUAACAGGGAAGAAAGAGAAAUUUGACGGUACCUGAAGAAUAAGCUCCGGCUAACUACGUGCCAGCAGCCGCGGUAAUACGUAGGGAGCGAGCGUUAUCCGGAUUUAUUGGGUUUAAAGGGUGCGUAGGCGGGCUUUUAAGUCAGCGGUAAAAAUUCGGGGCUCAACCCCGUCCGGUCGUUGAAACUGGGGGCCUUGAGUGGGCGAGAAGAAGGCGGAAUGCGUGGUGUAGCGGUGAAAUGCAUAGAUAUCACGCAGAACCCCGAUUGCGAAGGCAGCCUUCCGGCGCCCUACUGACGCUGAGGCACGAAAGUGCGGGGAUCGAACAGGAUUAGAUACCCGUGUAGUC